AACGUUAAUCAAUUCUCCGGGUAGUGAAUGGCGUGGUGACACCGGGAGGGGAGAUGCACGGCAGAAAGAAAGGAGCCCCCAGCCGCGGUGAGGAAAAGAGGGCAAGAGGAAGGAGAUGGAAAUGAGUUCAACACUGAAGAGGAGGAAAAAGCACUGCUGCAUCAAACCAUCUUUGGUCAACAGCUGCCAGGAGAAUAAAUCUACCUCAGCUCAG